rnacentral:rRNA from 1 species
UACGUAGGGUGCGAGCGUUAAUCGGAAUUACUGGGCGUAAAGCGUGCGCAGGCGGUUAUGUAAGACAGGUGUGAAAUCCCCGGGCUUAACCUGGGAACUGCGCUUGUGACUGCAUAACUCGAGUGUGGCAGAGGGGGGUGGAAUUCCACGUGUAGCAGUGAAAUGCGUAGAGAUGUGGAGGAACACCGAUGGCGAAGGCAGCCCCCUGGGUCAACACUGACGCUCAUGCACGAAAGCGUGGGUAGCAAACAGG